rnacentral:misc_RNA from 1 species
AUGAAAUCCUUUUAUUAUAGGAUUUAUUAAUUCCAUUCGUUCUUGUACUUAUUUCCUUCUCUAUUGGUUUCCUAGUAUUUCUAGGCUUCCUUUUCAUAUCUAGAUCUCUAGCAUACAAAUAGGAAGAGUGUACAAACACUAAUAUACUAAAAAAUAGAGAAUUUUCUCUUCCAAAUACCUGUUUCAACAACGUAUCAAAGCACUGCCAUUCAUUAUUGGUGUAAGUUACUGCAAAAUAGAGUUAGUUUGCUAAGGUAAGCUUCUAGGGGAGAGUAGAAUUCAGUUUAAACCGAAAAAUCGAACUGAACCGAGUCA